rnacentral:rRNA from 1 species
AUACGGAGGGGGCUAGCGUUGUUCGGAAUUACUGGGCGUAAAGCGUACGUAGGCGGACUGAUCAGUUGGGGGUGAAAUCCCAGGGCUUAACCCUGGAACUGCCUUCAAUACUGUCAGACUUGAGAGUGGAAGAGGUGAGUGGAAUUCCUAGUGUAGAGGUGAAAUUCAUGGAUAUUAGGAGGAACACCAGUGGCGAAGGCGGCUCACUGGUCCAAUACUGACGCUGAGGUACGAAAGCGUGGGGAGCAAACAGGAGUAGAAACCCCAGUAGUCC